UAUAGUUGUAUCAUUAUAAGUUAAUGAAAAAACAAAAUCUGUGUAGUUGUCCAGUACUUGCAAAACUACACUUGUUUACUAUUAUUUCCAUGUUAUGUUUAGAUGAGCACAAAGCCAAAGAGCCACAAGGCCAUGGGAGAUGGCGAGUGGAUGGCGAGGUUGAGGGCUUUUGCCAGCUCUGGAGUUUGGCCAUCUGGAGGAGGAAAUAGACCAUCCCCAAGGCAGCGGAAGUGGUACGACCUCUAUCAGAAGAUUGAGAAAUGCCCCAUGCAGGCCCAUGGACAGACAACCCUCUUUGGAGGGUCCAUGGCCUGCAACUGUGGAUUCCAUACCACUAAGCCUGCCACUGCCGCUUCAACUUCUGCCGCACCUCCGCAGUCUGAAGCUUCAGACACG